UAGCUAAUCCUGGUCGGACAUCAGGAGGUUAGUGCAAUGGCAUAAGCUAGCUUGACUGCGAGCGUGACGGCGCGAGCAGGUGCGAAAGCAGGUCAUAGUGAUCCGGUGGUUCUGAAUGGAAGGGCCAUCGCUCAACGGAUAAAAGGUACUCCGGGGAUAACAGGCUGAUACCGCCCAAGAGUUCAUAUCGACGGCGGUGUUUGGCACCUCGAUGUCGGCUCAUCACAUCCUGGGGCUGAAGUAGGUCCCAAGGGUAUGGCUGUUCGCCAUUUAAAGUGGUACGCGAGCUGGGUUUAGAACGUCGUGAGACAGUUCGGUCCCUAUCUGCCGUGGGCGCUGGAGAAUUGAGGGGGGCUGCUCCUAGUACGAGAGGACCGGAGUGGACGCAUCACUGGUGUUCGGGUUGUCAUGCCAAUGGCACUGCCCGGUAGCUAAAUGCGGAAGAGAUAAGUGCUGAAAGCAUCUAAGCACGAAACUUGCCCC
rnacentral:rRNA from 1 species